GAAAUGAGCACAAAUUUAAUAUCCCUUAUCUGGAAUGCUUGGGAGCUAGUGUCCAAUUUUGGAAUUUUUUCAGAUUUUGGAAUACUUGGAUAGACUUUACUGGUUGAGCAUCCCUAAACUGAAAAUUCGAACUGAAAUGCUCCAGGAUUCAACAUCCAGAUGGAUCGAACUUGGGAUCUUGUGCUUAUGAGGCAGGUGAUGGAACCGCUGAGCUGAAUCCCCGGUCCUCCAUUAUCCCUUUUUUAAGGAUCAAACUCAGGACUUUGUGCUUGCGAGGCAGGCGCCGGAACCACUGAGCUAAAUCCCCAGCCAACAACUCACUGUUUUGAGAGCUCAAGGGUGCCACAUAAUCCAUAAUCACCUCCAAAGGAAGCUUCCCCAUGACCACAAACCUCCCACUAGGCCUCAGCUCUCAAAGAUUCCACCCAGUCCCCCAACAUUGUCACUGUGGGGCCAGGUUCUCACCCAGGAAGCUCUGGGGAACAAAUUGUAUCCAA
rnacentral:lncRNA from 1 species